AGCAGCCGCGGUAAUUCCAGCUCCAAUAGCGUAUAUUAAAGUUGCUGCAGUUAAAAAAGCUCGUAGUUGAAUUUCGGGACCAUCAUGUCGGUCGUGCCUCGGUACGUACUGGCAUUGUUGGUUUCUCCCUUCUGACGAACCAUGAUGUCAUUAAUUUGGUGUCAUGGGGAAUCAGGACUGUUACUUUGAAAAAAUUAGAGUGUUUAAAGCAGGCUCACGCUUGAAUACAUUAGCAUGGAAUAAUGAAAUAGGACGUUUGAUUCUAUUUUGGUGGUUUCUAGGAUCGACGUAAUGAUUAAUAGGGAUAGUUGGGGGCAUUAGUAUUCAAUUGUCAGAGGUGAAAUUCUUGGAUUUAUUGAAGACUAACUACUGCGAAAGCAUUUGCCAAGGAUGUUUUCAUUAAUCAAGGACGAAAGUUAGGGGAUCGAAGACGAUCAGAUACCGUCGUAG
rnacentral:rRNA from 1 species